AUUUCAAUGGAUUUUAGGUUACU
rnacentral:snRNA from 1 species